rnacentral:tRNA from 1 species
GGCCUGGUAGUUCAGUUGGUUAGAAUGCCAGCCUGUCACGCUGGAGGUCCAUGGUACGAGCCUCGGCCAGGGCGCCA